rnacentral:rRNA from 1 species
UACAGAGGGGGCAAGCGUUGUUCGGAAUUACUGGGCGUAAAGGGCGCGUAGGCGGCCGCCUAAGUCAGACGUGAAAUCCCUCGGCUCAACCGGGGAACUGCGUCUGAUACUGGGUGGCUUGAAUUCGGGAGAGGGAUGCGGAAUUCCAGGUGUAGCGGUGAAAUGCGUAGAUAUCUGGAGGAACACCGGUGGCGAAGGCGGCAUCCUGGACCGGCAUUGACGCUGAGGCGCGAAAGCUAGGGAAGCAAACGGG